UUCAUCCACUGGAGGUGCCCUUUAAAAGGGCUGAGAUCAAAGUGAUUGACUUUGGGAUUCCUGGAACCUGAUCCAGUUCAUACUGGCGUAGGAAAGUGGCGAGACCUUUAU
rfam:Domibacillus antri strain XD80 WGS_contig_25, whole genome shotgun sequence.